CACGCCCUCUUUUUGCGACACCCUCCGCCGCGCUGCUGCCAACCCGCGCCGCCCCCCUCACCCCCCCCCCCUCCUCCGCCGCGCCACCGGAUCUCCGCUCGCCGAUCGUGGCCUCGCCCUCGCCCAGCGCCGCCGCUCGCCGCAGCGUGCAACUCUGCCUCUCCGACGCGCGCGGGUCGCCGGAUCUCCGCGUGAGAUCGACGGCCCACCUCGCCGCUGCCCUGCUGUCUAUGCGCCGUACCCUCGCCCCCGGCCCCCUACUUCACCGCCGUCGCCGCCACCUACUCCCGCGUCGUACGUCGCCGCUCCGUCCCCGGCCGCCGGUCCGCGCCGUCCCCGGCGGAUCCGCGCCGUUCUCGCCGUGCCGCCACUCUGUCCCUGACGGAUCCGCGCCGGUCCGGCCGCCGAUCCGAAUCCCCGGCGCUCCUCGGCGCCCUCCUUGCCCGACCAUCGCGCCGCCCCGACUGCCGAUCCGUGCUGCUCCGCGGGUCCGCCGGGUCGGUCGCCUCCCACGGCAGCAGGCUGGCCUUCGUCGUGCUGCGCCAGGGCAUGGACACGGUGCAGUGCGUGGUCCACGCCGGCGGAGACGACAGCCCCGGCGUCAGCCCAGGGAUGGUGCGCUUCGCCGCCUCCCUCGCCGCGGAGUCGGUCGUCGACGUCGAGGGCGUCGUCGCCACGCCCCGCGCCCCCGUGCUACGGGCCACCGCUCGGCAUGUCGAGGUCCGCGUCAGGACGAUCCGCUGCGUCGCCAGGCCGGCUAGCCCGGGAAUCCCGUUCAGCCAGCCUCGACGACGCGACGGCGGCAGCGGAGGCGGUGGAGCUCGAGGGCAGCCGGAAGACCCCGCGUGGACCGCUUCAACUACAGGGCGCUCGAACUGCGAACGCCCGCGAACCAGGCGAUAAUCCGGAUCCUGUGCCAAGUUGAGAACGCAAGGUUUUUAAAGCGUUAAGGCGAGGCGAGCCACCACCGCCUUAUCGCCUAGGCGACGCCUAGGUGGGCUAAGGCGGACUAAGGCGACGCCUUAGGCGAGGCGAGCCACCACCGCCUUGUCGCCUAGGCGACGCCUUAAGGACGCCUUAAAAACACUGGUUGCAGGAGAGUUUAGUUUAUGUUGAGUCAUGCUGCUUGUUUGCUAUGCUGAUAUCAAGUGCAGUUUUCCAACCAUGCCUACACAAAUUAGGAACGUCUAGGCUCUACUUCUGUUUUGUUACAAUGCUUACCUAAUAAACAUCACUUACUUCUGGUGAAUUGGUUGUACAUUCUAAUUUCAGAUACUAUCAUGAUUUGUUUGGCAAAGAAUACUGGGUGUGUGGUACUCAAUUCCCGACUAUGCCCACAUAUCUCCAUAGUGGCAAGAUCUUGUUUUUAGGUUUUUCGUUGCCAAUCCAGCCACCAUGAGUAGCUUAUGUAAUUUUGGACCAUUAGCUUAUGCACAUUGUCUCCUUUGAGCUAAACACUGAAAUUGAAUAUUCAGAGGAUCGACAUCACGGAGAUAAGAAAUCAUCCCUAAUGGAGCAAUGGACGACAACACAGUGUGUGACCGGUAUGAGGAGCCAUGGAUGAGAUAUGCAUAUUUUAUACUGGCUGAGCCGAUCACACUAGCAAACAUAUCUUUUUAUACAUAGAAAUAUUUUUAUUCAGUUUAUUUUAGUAUCAUCAAGCAUCUCUCAACUAUGUGAUUGUUUCAUCUGAUUCACUUGUUUGUUUUUUAGGAAUCAUUUGAUUCAAAAUUCACUUUUUUUACUGACAAAGAUGAAGACUGAACACAGGCAAGAAAUAUAUAUGUGUCCCUCUUCUGAUACUGAUUAAGAGUAACACAAGUAUACUUUAUCAGAUAUAUAUACAUCAUCAGUUUAUAUACUGACGAUUUCUGAACACAGACAAGGGACAACUUUGUGAAAGAAUUCGAAUCUGGGAACUUGCCGGUGUGAGUAUGGCGCAUCAGAUCCGGGAUGACUUCUACCAUUUGUUUGUGCUGAUUCAUUAAUUUUUCUAGGACUUGGUAACUAUCAUUUCUUUUCUGCUUAGGGAUGAUGCAUCUGGUUUCCAUUUAUAUCAUAUAAACUAAACUUCUUUCUAAUUCAAAUGGAAUGUACUGACCUUCAAGAGUAUUGCAAGCAAAUUGGAGGAACAGAGGCAUGAUGGGAGAAUCUGAUGGGACGGUCUAGAGUUGUUCAUGCGCCUGUGGUCGGACGAGCUAAAUGCACUACCCAGGUUUGGGAGGUCUUGAUGAAACCUUUCUUAUUGCAUUGAGUGAGCUGAGUGUUUUAUAUUCUUUUAGUGUCUGACUGGGAGUGAAACAUUUUUAGAGCCCACCUAAAUGGAGAUCAAACGACUAUCCAACUAUAUUGGGUAACAUUUUAUUUUGCAAUAGAGAUUUUAUUGCUGGUUUCAACAUCUUUAUUACAUCACAUCAACGACUUGUUUGUAACUAAGGUGUAUGUUAUGUCUGAGAGAAUUGACUUCUACUUUCUGUAUAAUAUGUUUUGUUGUUUGGUUUGUGCU